AAUUCCCUCCAAAUGGAGUGUGAGAGCGAUCUUGAGGUGAAUUCAAUCAGAAUUCCAAAGUCAGUCUGUGGAAGGGGGGGAUGAAUCUGGAAACAGCCAGUUUCUUUGUGUCUAAAUCCAGCCAAAUAUCACAAAGGACUCUUGCAUUUCUUUGGCUUUUUUCUCUUUUUUCUUAUUUAUCAUGGUUUGUAAUGAAUUUUCUGAUGUGAGCUUUGGUUUUGAGGCUGGAAUAUUGAGUUCAGGGCACAAGAGGAAGGUUCUUUUUCAAUCAGGGCACAGCUGUUGGCUUGCUCCACUUCUGGCUUGCUGUCAUUGUUUUGGGUGCCUCAGCUGAUUUGUGGUUUCUUGUGUGGCAAUUUCCUAAAUGUUUUCGGGGUCUGAGUUGGUUUUGCCUUCUUCCUUCCCAAUUUUUGUAUUCUGAUGCAAUACAAGCAAGAUUUUGGACAGAGUAGCCAUUAUGAAAGAAAAAAAAAACACAGCAAAUUUACCAUUCAGGAUUAGAAAUCCAUAGGCAACACAACCAAGAUGAGAUUCUGUGUUUUGGAAAAUGACAUGGAACGCUUCUGCUGAGGUGACAGAUUCUAAUUCCCUCCAAAUGGAGUGUGAGAGCGAUCUUGAGGUGAAUUCAAUCAGAAUUCCAAAGUCAGUCUGUGGAAGGGGGGGAUGAAUCUGGAAACAGCCAGUUUCUUUGUGUCUAAAUCCUGCCAAAUAUCACAAAGGACUCUUGCAUUUCUUUGGCUUUUUCACAUUUCCCUUAUUUAUCAUGGUUUGUAAUGAAUUUUCUGAUGUGAGCUUUGGUUUUGAGGCUGGCAUAUUGAGUUCAGGGCACAAGAGGAAGGUUCUUUUUCAAUCAGGGCACAGCUGUUGGCUUGCUCCACUUCUGGCUUGCUGUCAUUGUUUUGGGUGCCUCAGCUGAUUUGUGGUUUCUUGUGUGGCAAUUUACUAAAUGUUUUCUGGGUCUGAGUUGGUUUUGCCUUCUUCCUUCCCAAAUUUUGUAUUCUGAUGCAAUACAAGCAAGAUUUUGGACAGAGUAGCCAUUAUGAAAGAAAAAAAAAAACACAGCAAAUUGACCUUUCAGGAUUAGAAAUCCAUAGGCAACACAACCAAGAUGAGAUUCUGUGUUUUGGAAAAUGACAUGGAACGCUUCUGCUGAGGUGACAGAUUCUAAUUCCCUCCAAAUGGAGUGUGAGAGCGAUCUUGAGGUGAAUUCAAUCAGAAUUCCAAAGUCAGUCUGUGGAAGGGGGGGAUGAAUCUGGAAACAGCCACUUUCUUUGUGUCUAAAUCCUGCCAAAUAUCACAAAGGACUCUUGCAUUUCUUUGGCUUUUUCACAUUUCCCUUAUUUAUCAUGGUUUGUAAUGAAUUUUCUGAUGUGAGCUUUGGUUUUGAGGCUGGCAUAUUGAGUUCAGGGCACAAGAGGAAGGUUCUUUUUCAAUCAGGGCACAGCUGUUGGCUUGCUCCACUUCUGGCUUGCUGUCAUUGUUUUGGGUGCCUCAGCCGAUUUGUGGUUUCUUGAGUGCCAAUUUCCUAAAUGUUUUCUGGGUCUGAGUCGGUUUUGCCUUCUUAUUCCCAAAUUUUGUAUUCUGAUGCAAUACAAGCAAGAUUUUGGAGAGUAGCCAUUAUGAAAGAAAGAAAAAAAAAAAAAACACAGCGCAUUGCCCUUUCAGGAUUAGAAAUCUACAGGCAACACGACCAAGAUGAGUUUCUGUGUUUUGGAAAAUGACAUAGAACGCUUCUGCUGAGGGGACAGAUUCUAAUUCCCUCCCAAAUGAGUGUGAGUGCGAUUUUGAGGUGAAUUCAAUCAGAAUUCCAAAGUCAGUCUGUGGAAGGGGGGGAUGAAUCUGGAAACAGCCAGUUUCUUUGUGUCUAAAUCCAGCCAAAUAUCACAAAGGACUCUUGCAUUUCUUUGGCUUUUUCACAUUUCCCUUAUUUAUCAUGGUUUGUAAUGAAUUUUCUGAUGUGAGCUUUGGUUUUCAGACUGCAAUAUAGAGUUCAGGGCACCUGAGGAAUGGUCUUUUUCAAACAGGGCACAGCUGUUGGUGUGCUCCAAUUCUGGCUAUUGUCUUUGUUUUGGGUGCCUCAGCUGAAAUUUGGUUUCUUGAGUUUCACUGCGAUUGUCAGGUUAAUUCAGUCAGAAUUCCACAGGCAGUCAGCUUUAGUGGUGGAUGAAUCUGGGAACAGCCGGUUUCCUUGCAACUAAAUCAAACCCAAUAUCAUUAUGGAUUCUUGCAUUUUUUUGGCUUUUUUCUCUUUUUUCUUAUUUAUCAUGGUUUGUAAUGAAUUUUCUGAUGUGAGCUUUGGUUUUGAGGCUGGCAUAUUGAGUUCAGGGCACAAGAGGAAGGUUGUUUUUCAAUCAGGGCACAGCUGUUGGCUUGCUCCACUUCUGGCUUGCUGUCAUUGUUUUGAGUGCCUCAGCCGAUUUGUGGUUUCUUGUGUGGCAAUUUCCCAAAUGUUUUCAGGGUCUGAGUUGGCUUUGCCUUCUUCCUUCCCAAAUUUUGUAUUCUGAUGCAAUGCAAAGAAGAGUUUGUACAGAAUAGCCAUUAUGAAAGAAAAAACACAACAAAUAGGCGUUUGAAGCUUAGAAAUCUACAGGUAACAUGACCAAGGUGAGUUUUUGUGUUUAUGAAAAUAAAAUGGAACACUUUGGCUGAGGUGACAGAUAUUAAUUGCCUCCAAACUGAGUUUCACUGUGAUUUUCAGGUUAAUUCAGUCAGAAUUCCACAGGCUGUCAGCUGGAGGGGUGGAUGUAUCUGGGAACAGCCGGUUUCCUAGCGACUAAAUCAAGCCCUAUAUCAUUAUGGA